AUUCUGGUUUCUCAGUGUAAUUCAGUAGUAAAACAAGAAAGACCAAGUAAAUUAUCAACAACUACAGGUUUUUUAGUAGCCCAGAAAAUGCCACUUGUCAGAAACCAAAUGAUCUGCACUUCAGACAGACCUUUGGGCUUUACCAACAGCAGCAGCAAAAUUGACCUGCCAAAAGCAAACGUUCUCACUACGCAUGUCAGAGUAAAGAGGAGCCUAAACAUUUUGCUCUUUGUUUGUAAACACAGCUGAGCCUUGUCUUCUGCUCACACUUACCUUUCCCAGAGCAGCUGCUCCCUAUCUGGAGAGGGAUUCGUAUGGACCUUAUACAGGUGUGCCUACAGUCAUCACUUAAAAGACUGCUCUAACAAAGCAACCCUAAGCUAUGCUGCUAAGGUUUUAUGUUUUUGCUUGUAUUGGUUUAGAUCAUAAAGUCUUUAUGUCUCAGUUGAGCUAGCUCCAGCCCUUUCUCUGCUGCCCUAGCAUUAGCAUUGGUGCACUGGUAUUUCAGCAGUGUAGAGAAGUCUCCAGGGGCCAGCAUCCUACUUGCCUUGUCAUCUAUUCUUGCUCUGAGCAAGCCUGUGCUGCUUGGCACUAAUAACCCUGGCAGCUGUCUGGAUUAUGAUCAGUACACACGGGAUGACAGCGCUGAGAACCGACUCCACCAGGUCAAGCAUCGUACAAACACAUGUGACUAACUUGUUGCUGGAGUCCAGACGGAGAGCAGCUAGCUGGUGACAGCAAGGGCAGCAAUCUUUGGCACCAACAAAGACAACCACAUCCCUGUUCAGCUGGUGAAAUGGAAAUCAGCUGCCCAGCUUGGCCUGUUACAGGAAAUCUGCGAUAUUUCUGAACCACAUCUGUGAAAACCUAAGCCCAGAGCAGAAUUUGCCUUAAGUUCCUCCUAGCAAUGAUCUGUUUUAAUCAGGAUUGUUGCUGUAGUUGGUUCUACUGUAGGAAGGACAUCAGACAGACAAAGCACAGUCAAAUGUCAGGCAGGCCCACGUGUCACGGCUGACUGACUAAAUACGGUGCUGGAAGAAGCAAAAUUGUACUCUCAGUACUUUUACAGCUCUGUCUGUGGAGAGAGCACGUGCAGGGUGCAAGUGGGGAUGAGGUUAGGAAGAAGCUUGGUGUGGGCAGUUUCUUGUAACUGCAGUUCUGGAAGGAAGGAGAUUUACUUAUUUACUUAUUUGGCUUGAUGUCACCAAGAGGAGGGCCUGAGCAGUCAUCUGCUACCUUUGUGGCAUGGUGUGCUUCCUGAUUCCCCUUGGCCAGCCUUACCGCCUCUUACACCAGGGAAGCUUUAACUGCUGUGAGCACAGUUUAUUGAUCUUCAGCAGAAGUUAAUGUGUCAAUAGGCAGAGCAGGUCAAAGUAAGUUCAGGCCAGUCUAGAGAGGAUGUAAUGAGACAUGAAGGACGUGCAGUAAAUUAAAGAGCUGAUUGUGCUCCAAUGAAAUCAGAGGUUCCUUUGAUUUUAGCAGCAAAAGUUCUAGCCAUAAGAAGGAAAAAGUGUGUUAUUUCUUUGUCUAAAGACAAAAUUACUGUCUUUAAAAAAGAAAAAGCUAGUAUUUGUAAAGCCAGCAUGUUAAACUAUAAACUACCUUUGGUUUUAUGAGAUAAUAAUAAUUUAUCUGUUUCAUAUACUUACACAUGGCUCAAUUAAGCCAUAAAGUCCUGACUACAGUGGUGUGCUUAGGAAGCAGUUUCAUUCUGAAGUAAAGUUUGCUUUAUUUCAUUUUUAUUUUGUUUGUUUGUUUUGUUUUGUUUUCAAGCUUUCCUCUACAGAAGUGACUCUCAAGAACAACUUCAGUCCAUGGAACAUAGCAGGCUUGAUGUUUUUUUUUAGCCUGUUUAGAACCUGUAAACAUGAAGACUACAAGAAGAUCACAGAGUAAGGGGUUUGUAACAAGAACUGUCCCUGUGUCUGAGAGCACCUCCUGCUGUGAGCAACAUACUUGCUAUAUGAUUCCUUAGUUCUUCUCUGAGGGACAAUACCACAAUCAUGGGAUUGAUCUCUACCAUUGUUAUAAUUUUCUUGUUUCAGGUGAGGCCCAUGUGAGGCUGAACUGGCAAGAGAUCAAACUAUAAUACUAGCUGUGGCUAAAUUCAAUUGAACGAUCACUUACAACAGAUCUGUUGCUAUAGAGUACUGUGAGUCAAAACGGGUAUUUAGAGCAGUGAUUCCAAAAGCUGGCUCCUCGCCGGUGUACAAUCUGGAGUUAUAUUCUAAGACUACGCUAUUGUAUGUAAAUUUCUAAUAUUGCAUAUAAUAUUAUAGUGUCCUAUUUACUCUGAGGAUUCAUAACAUUAUCUUUCUGCUGUUAUGAAACUGUAUUAAGCAUAAAAAUGAUGGUGUAUUUUUGACCAACAGAACAUACUUCGGUAGCCUAAUGAAACUGCUAACUCAGUAUCUAAUUUUGCUAUUACAAGUAGACUGAAAACAUUAUUGCUGUUUGAUAAUAAUGCAAGAUACAGCUUAUUCUUGAAUUAACUUCACUGCAUACACCUGCACAUUUUUUCUAUUCUGAAAAUAAGACCAA